GACGUAGGGUCCGAGCGUUGUCCGGAGUUACUGGGCGUAAAGGGCGCGUAGGCGGCUUUGUGCGUCACACGUGAAAGCCCCUGGCUUAACCAGGGAGGGUCGUGUGAAACGGCGAAGCUGGAGGCAGAGAGAGGCUGGUGGAAUUCCCGGAGUAGUGGUGAAAUGCGUAGAUAUCGGGAGGAACACCAGUGGCGAAGGCGGCCUUCUGGACCAGCACUGACACUCAAGCACGAAAGCUAGGGGAGCAAACAGG
rnacentral:rRNA from 1 species